UAGAAGAUGAAGAGGAUUUUUUUCAUCAGUGCCCGCAGCGGGAGUGUCUACACUCUAUCGCUUCAGCUCAGUGGAGUCAGGGAGUGUACUUGCAAGUAUUGAUGAUAAUGACAUUUGAUAUCGUUUUCAGUCCUAUAGGUCUCGCAAAGGGGUUUUUACCUCGUUGUAGUGGUGUUGGUUCUUCUUCUACAGUUGAUCAGGUCAUGGGACACACAGAUGAAGCAAACAAUUGUUUCGGAGGAGAGCAUGUAGUUCUUUGAGGAGCUUAAUAUUCACAGGGAUGCUCCCGGCAAGCUCGUUGUGCGAGAGCUCAAGGGCCACCAAGGUCCUCAAAGCCGAGAAGUCAAGAGACUCAAGUGUCCCUCUCAGCCGCAUCCCCGGCAGGGAGAUGGCGGCGAUCACCGGCCGGCGUCCACCACACCGGAUGCCUUGCCAACGGCAAGGUGCUGAGAUGUUUCUCCAGGAUCGCAGGGCGUCUUGGCUUUGCUGACUGAGGCUGGCUUUCCAGGCAAGAAGUGCCCCUGCUUGUUGUUCAAGUGAUGGCAGCGCUCCAGCGGCUGAGACGAGUGCGGUGGUGCACAUCAUCAGUAUGGUGAGAGAGUCAAGUAUUUUGGAAGCCAAGGGCGCCAUGGCGAGGAUAGGAAUUGAUUCUGCUUCUGCGUCUGUUGGAGGGUUCACCUUAAAUCGUUGCACCAAAUAUUGCCGCUGCCUCGUUCCCUGCAGGUAGUCUAAUGAUUAUGACGCCUGUUCUUUCAAAGUCAAAAGUUACAGAACCCAAACAUGUACGCACCCAGAAAAGGAAACCAGAAAGAAGGUGCCACAACACAAACUGCAGAAAGGACCUCAAUAAAAGAAAGAAGAUUACAAGCACGCCCUCUAGAGGACCUGGUGCAAAGAAGACCAUCGCCGUCGGAGAAGAGAGGGACAUGACGCUGCUCACCCAGGUUCGGAGGAACACCAUUGCAGACGGCACUACUUUCUGAGUCGAUUAAAUGGUCCACCGCAAGUGGCAGAAUUGAGGCAAUGUGGCUCGUCGGUUGGGUACUUUCCUUAUGUCCACUGUUCUGUCGUCUUGACAGUGGCGAAGCUACAUGUAGUCUGUGAUGUCGAGCGACAUCACAGAAAUGUGCUUAGAAGUUGACCCCGGGUAUGUUUAAGUGUAUAUGUUUACAUACAUGUGCAGUUUUGAGCUGUUAA